rnacentral:rRNA from 1 species
GUGGGGAAUAUUGGACAAUGGGCGCAAGCCUGAUCCAGCCAUACCGCGUGGGUGAAGAAGGCCUUCGGGUUGUAAAGCCCUUUUGUUGGGAAAGAAAUCCUGUCGGUUAAUACCUGGCGGGGAUGACGGUACCCAAAGAAUAAGCACCGGCUAACUUCGUGCCAGCAGCCGCGGUAAUACGAAGGGUGCAAGCGUUACUCGGAAUUACUGGGCGUAAAGCGUGCGUAGGUGGUGGUUUAAGGCCGUUGUGAAAGCCCUGGGCUCAACCUGGGAAUUGCAGUGGAUACUGGAUCACUAGAGUGUGGUAGAGGGAUGCGGAAUUUCUGGUGUAGCAGUGAAAUGCGUAGAGAUCAGAAGGAACAUCCGUGGCGAAGGCGGCAUCCUGGGCCAACACUGACACUGAGGCACGAAAGCGUGGGGAGCAAACAGGAUUAGAAACCCUUGUAGUCC